rnacentral:lncRNA from 1 species
AUGAAGGACUCUCUCACCCCCUUGCCCUUGUGGGGUUCAGCCCUGCCACACAGCACUAGGCUCUACCAGCUGCAGGGCCUCUGUGCCUGGACAGCGGCCACCAUGCCAGGAGGCAGAGCUGAGUGUGGGCGCGUGUGCAGCCCUGAUGACCUGGGCCGUAGGUGGGUCCACCUCCACCUCUACAGCUCACCUGGAAGCACCCUCAAGCUCAGCCCGCAGCACAGGAGCACUUUCACCUUGUGGGACACCCCAGCUCCCUGGACCUGCUUCUGCAGUUCCUUCUGGGUGGCUUCUCCUUCCCACGAACCUGGUCCAGACCACCCUCCCAGGCGCCUUGCCCACUGCUGGAAGCAGGGAUGAGCACAGGUAUUGUAGCUGGCACCUGCUCUUCUCUCUGCAGGCAGCUCUGCAGGUGAAGGGCCGGUGGGGCCAUUGGUCAUCCCAGUGUCAGUAACUUAGAUCCACACCAUUGUGCAUGGGAGCAGAUGGCUCUGAACCCUGAAAGACAGAAUGUCCUGGCUGGAAGCAGGCCCUGCAACAGCUGUGGAUGGGGUCUCCAACGUCUGGGUGGUGAAGGACCAGGAUCCUGUCAACCGCCUCACUGUGUUCAGGGGCCAGCAGCUGGCCAGCAGCAUGUCCUGCACCCCGCCCCACCCCACCCUCUGAAAGCAGAGCCUCCCUGUGCCUGCGUACUUCAAAUGGAAGGUCCCUAAUAUCUCUCAUAAAUAGGAGAAAAGAAAACCACAUCCACACAUUCCCCAUAAGAUAGCAGCAUGGCACGGGUCACCUGGACUUUCCUUUUAGGAAGAUUCUCCGCGCAGACUCGGCCAAACUCCUCCUUCUUCUGUGUCUCCCCAGGACAUGAGGAGUAAAAUUAGAAUGACUGUGGUUUGUUCCUGAGCCUCCCAGCAUGACUACCCUCCCUCUAGUCCCAAAGAGCCUAGCAGGGGUUGCCCA